UCCUGCCGGACCCGACUGCUAUCAGAGUGAGAUUAAGCCAUGCGAGUCAACGUAGCAAUACGUGGCACACGGCUCAGUAACACGUAGUCAACAUAACCAAAGGACGUGGAUAAACUCGGGAAACUGAGGCUAAACCGCGAUAGACCAAGAUACCUGGAAUGGUUUUUGAUUGAAAUCUAUAUGGCCUUUGGAUUGGACUGCGUCCGAUCAGGCUGUUGGUGAGGUAAUGGCCCACCAAACCUAUAACCGGUACGGGCUCUGAGAGGAGGAGCCCGGAGAUGGGUACUGAGACAAGGACCCAGGCCCUAUGGGGCGCAGCAGGCGCGAAACCUCUGCAAUAGGCGAAAGCCUGACAGGGUUACUCUGAGUGACUUUCGCUAAGAAAGUCUUUUGACACCUCUAAAAAUGGUGUAGAAUAAGGGGUGGGCAAGUCUGGUGUCAGCCGCCGCGGUAAUACCAGCACCCCGAGUGGUCGGGACGAUUAUUGGGCCUAAAGCAUCCGUAGCCGGCCUUACAAGUCCCCCGUUAAAUCCAACUGCUUAACAGAUGGGCUGCGGAGGAUACUAUAAGACUAGGAGGCAGGAGAGGCAAGCGGUACUCAGUGGGUAGGGGUAAAAUCCGUUGAUCCAUUGAAGACCACCAGUGGCGAAGGCGGCUUGCCAGAAUGCGCUCGACGGUGAGGGAUGAAAGCUGGGGGAGCAAACCGGAUUAGAUACCCGGGUAGUCCCAGCUGUAAACGAUGCAGACUCGGUGAUGGACUAGCUUAAUGCUAGUCCAGUGCCGCAGGGAAGCCGUUAAGCCUGCCGCCUGGGUAGUACGGUCGCAAGACUGAAACUUAAAGGAAUUGGCGGGGGAGCACCACAAGGGGUGAAGCCUGCGGUUCAAUUGG
rnacentral:rRNA from 1 species